ensembl:lncRNA
AGAAUUUACAACACCCCUAUGGAAUUCAUCCCAGCAUCAGUGAAGUCAGAGUGUGAUUUACCACUGAAGUCGAUAGCCCUGGAUUGCAGCCAGGUAAUGUAAAAUGGACUUAGAGGCGUGCUCAGCACAAAGGUAUGUCCUUGAGAAAGCAGGUUAAUGCAAGCAAGAGCUGCCCUCUGGAACUUCAUGCAGACUAGCACUUGGAUGUCUUCAGGAAAUGAACACAAGUGGGAAAGUAUCUGUGAUGGAAAAGGGACUUGGCUUACUCUAAGGGUGGAAAUGAAGCAAAUCAGGCCUGGACAGACUGGAGAGGGCUUCAGACACAGAACAAAUCGAGGGCUGCCAAUCACUGUCUGACCCAAAGAAAGAAGCUGUGUAUCUCCAGGGUACUUCCCCAGCAGCAGAACUGUUCAAGUCCCUAACUCUUCUCCCUGGUAUCAAGCAUCUGCCAGUAAGGAGCAAACAAGUCAGAGUGAAAUUGUGCCAAACUACGGUGCCUAACUGCCCACCCCACAACAUCAGUGCAGCUCCUCACUUGCUUCAGACAGAGCCUCUCAUUGGCUGAAUGAUCCCAGUCGCAACUACUAUAUAUACUUCCUUGGAUGACUCAAGUUGCUCAGCAAAGGAUUCAGGAUUUACAUUUGCUUAAUGUCAUUAAUCAGAAGUGUGUGAAGAGAACAUCAAGAGAUACAUCACAGAUAUGAAACGGCUUCUAAACAAGGAGAAUGCGAGCAAACUCCACAACCUCUCUGGGCAGCUGUUCCAGUGCUCUGUCACUCUGACAGUAAAGAAGCUCAUUCUUGUGUUAGUAUGGAAUUAUCUGAGUUCUGAUUCCUGCCCAUUUGCCCCUUGUUCUAUUGCUGCAUGCCACUGGUAAGAGUCUGCCCCCAUCCACUUGACCCCCACACUUAUUUAUAAACAGUUUCUUGAAUACCUCCACGAAUGGUGACUCCAUCACUUCCCUGGGCAACCUGUUCCAGUGCAUUUCCAUCC